UUCACUUCCAUUUUUUUCUCCGCCAUUUUUUCUCCUUUCUUUUCUGUUCCUCUAUUCCUCUUCUCUGUCAUUUUCAAUUUCAAGAGAUUUGAGCUUAGUUCUAAGAGAGGGAUUCAUAGAAUAUUAAUAAAAAGGUGAUGUUUUUACAGAUAAGAUUAGAUAAAUAUUAUGAGUCUGAGAUUUAGAGAAAUGGAAUGAAAUCAGGGAUAUUUGAUGGUCAUGGUGUCGAUCCAUGUGUUGAUUCAAACUCAACAGAAAGAUGGGUAUGUAAAAAAAGAUUUUUCAAACUGUUAUCAUGAGAACAACCCAGGAUGAGCUUUUUGACAAGUUCCUCGAUGUGAAAAUCCUUGUUAUGGUCACACUAUUUAAGUGUCUGAGUCAAUGAGGUUCUAAUGUUACUUUAUGCUGCUUCAACACAGGUGUGGACAAGAUCGCUGGUAGGGCUUUUAGUUAUAGUCGGAUGCACAGAACUGCACUUAGAAACUGUACUCAAGUUUCGUAUCCCAGGCUCAACUAUGACUUGAACUCCUCAAGCAGUUGAAGUACUAUGGACCAACACCGCUCACUCAGUGAGUCUGCGAAACAUACAACAGAAGUAAUAGUGAAGUAGUAAGGUGCCGUAAUGUUUACUUUUUAAGUUGAAGGACUAAUUGUGCUGAGAACAACCCAGCAAGUAGAGAAAGUAACACGUCGAUCUUUGGUUUGUGAGGCGGCUUUUUCGAAGAAAGCUGAAUUAAAAGCCAAGAUAGCUCGUCAUGCAGAGAAAAGACAGCCUGGUAUAACAAGUAUCUGGAGAGGUCUUGAUGAGGAAGGGAGAAGCAGAGUUGCAGGAUGAUAAAUGAAUGUCAUCAUGGAACUUGGACAAGAACCACUAGCUGCACAGAUGAUCCAUUUUUUGUUCUUUUUUUGUUGUUUUCAUGCCAUCAGGUGUGUUCUUAUCAUGUCCCAAACUUUCCACAGGCAUUUUUGGAUGUUGAUAAUCUUAGUUACCAGGAUUUUUAACUAUCUGGGUGUUGUUCUGUUGCCCAGAUUUAUGUUUUUUAAACAGUUAAACAUCUUA